rnacentral:lncRNA from 1 species
UCCACCACCUCGGAGGCCACCUUAACAUCUUUCCAUGUCUCAAAGGAUGGAAAGGCCAGAACUUGGAAUGGAUCAUCAAGCGGCAUGUAUGCAGUCCAUGGAACAAAUUAUGUGUGUUUAUGUUGAACAUGUUGGUAUGGAUAUGAGCUCUUUUCCUACUCUCCUGGAUGAUCCCACAGUGGAAGACUUGCAUGAUGAAGAUAAGGGCGAGGAUAUGUAGAGAUGAACCGAUAGUCAAGGGAGUAUUCUUUUACCUUACUUUCUUAACAUUGGGGAUAAUAUUAUUUUUAAGUUUGGGGGAAAUUUUAAGUUUAGUGGCCAAGUUAGUAACUUUUAAUUUAAAUUGAUGCAUUUGUAUUUUUACCUAUCCAAUGAUAAGAGCUUAGUUAUCUUCAUGUCUUGAUUCUUUGAAACAGGUGAAUAUUGUUUAAGUGUUAUGUAAAUUCUUAUGCUAAGCUUUAUUGUUAGGUUGAAAUUUUCUACAU